rnacentral:sRNA from 1 species
GUUUUAUAAUGGUUACAAUCAAAUUAGAAAAAGGCAUAGACACAUCAGCAUGAGAGAACAUUAUUGGUUUACUGUUCGAAAGAGAUCGGAGCACCAAUCUCUUUGCUCACUCUACGAGCACAAUCAUUCCAUGUUUGUUUACUUUUUGGAAUAGCUCUAGAUGCAAUAUUUUUAUAAUCAUCCGUGGAGAAUAUAAUUUUAACCAAUGCAAGAUGACAGUCUUUGCCAGUCUUCAGUAUAUCAAGACAACAUUCGUUUGUUACUGGUGUCGUACCAUCCAACAUGUUCUGGAAAAUCUCAUCAUCACAUUUGGAACUCGGCUUUUUAGGACAAGCCAGAAUAUAAUCUUCAUGUAAACGGUGAGCAAGCUUUAUCUCAUAUUCUGUUGUGGGUGAGUCAGCCCCUUCUACUGAAGUUGGAGAUAUGUCUACAUCUUCUGAUAUUUCUUUUGAAUAAUGAUGAAUUUUCUGGGAGCAAAUUAGACAAACCAUGCUAAACGUUAAUAUAGAUACAAGUAUUGCCAUGAGAAUAGACUUUGCCAUAUUUACUUUUAGUUUUAGAUGUAAGAUUGGUGAUAUGAAACAAGAAAAGAAGAGAUGUUAUAAGGCAAUCAAUGAGUUUAUUUGGUU